UGGGCAUGGUGGGGAUGGGUUGGGGUUGGCCUUGGUGAUCAUAGAGGUCUUUCCCAACCUGUAUGAUUCUAU
rnacentral:miRNA from 7 species